AUGAACUUGAACCAACUUCUUUGUGCCCCAGGCACGUCAUCAUUAAAAUAAAGUGGAAAAACUAAAUGAUCUUUGAGACCUCUUCUGGCUUGAACAUGAGACGACUGUAUAUAAAGAACUCCAUAUACCAAAGUUUCUCAUGUUGGAUAAUGCUAAAAUUGGACCUACUCCCUUAGUAGUUCUGGGUUAUAUGUGUUGCAUGAAGAAUAAGAUAUCAUAAGAGAUUCCCAUCCUUUGCAAAUGAUACUCCUUGAAAUUCCAGUGGACUUCCAGGCAAGAGUUGCAUAAAUAAUGUUACAUUUUAAUCUAGUUCAGAUGAACUCUACAGUGUUGUAGCCUACAUGUGGUCCAUGGACCACGGGUUUGACAUUUCUGUUAGAGAAGAACCUUUUGAAUUGACAUCCCAUGGCUUGGGCAUUGCAAGGAAGGAGAGGAAGAUACCUGCUCCUUUGAGGGAUCUCACAAAGGCCUGUCUGAGGAGUUGUCACACAGAAGCUCCACACUCCACUCCCCACACACUGCCUCCCUCCCUAGCCUUUGGUGAUGAGGUGCCCUUUCCAGGAAGAGGAAACAACCCUAUUUCCUCAAGGCUCAAUCAGUUCUUACAUCCUCCAUGUGGCCAGACUAUGGAUGAACUUUCUAAGGGAACUGGCUUUUUUUUAGCUUACUUCAGGUGA
rnacentral:lncRNA from 1 species